rnacentral:piRNA from 1 species
UCAAAACGGGCAACUACCCUAUGACCUGGUC